rnacentral:rRNA from 1 species
GAGCUUGCUCUCUGGGUGACGAGCGGCGGACGGGUGAGUAAUGUCUGGGAAACUGCCUGAUGGCGGGGGAUAACUAGUGGAAACGGUAGCUAAUACCGCAUAACGUCGCAAGACCAAAGUGGGGGACCUUCGGGCCUCACGCCAUCAGAUGUGCCCAGGUGGGAUUAGCUGGUAGGUGGGGUAACGGCUCACCUAGGCGACGAUCCCUAGCUGGUCUGAGAGGAUGACCAGCCACACUGGAACUGAGACACGGUCCAGACUCCUACGGGAGGCAGCAGUGGGGAAUAUU